GACGAACGCUGGCGGCGUGCUUAACACAUGCAAGUCGAACGGUGAAGGGAUCAGCUUGCUGGUUCUGGAUGAGUGGCGAACGGGUGAGUAACACGUGAGUAACCUGCCCCCUUCUUCUGGAUAACCGCAUGAAAGUGUGGCUAAUACGGGAUAUUCUGGGUCUGUCGCAUGAUGGGUCUGGGAAAGAUAUUGUUUCGGUGGGGGAUGGGCUCGCGGCCUAUCAGCUUGUUGGUGGGGUGAUGGCCUACCAAGGCGGUGACGGGUAGCCGGCCUGAGAGGGUGGACGGUCACACUGGGACUGAGACACGGCCCAGACUCCUACGGGAGGCAGCAGUGGGGAAUAUUGCACAAUGGGCGCAAGCCUGAUGCAGCGACGCCGCGUGAGGGAUGGAGGCCUUCGGGUUGUAAACCUCUUUCGCCAGUGAAGCAGGCCUGCUCCUUGUGGGUGGGUUGACGGUAGCUGGAGAAGAAGCGCCGGCUAACUACGUG
rnacentral:rRNA from 1 species